AUGCAUCCUUCCUUCAUUUCUUGGCAUGUUUGGUUGGUAUGUGGGAGCUACAAUGGAAGGUUGAAAACGUUUUCUUUUCUUUCUUUCUUUCCACAGAUCCAUUUCAAUCCAUCCCAUUCCUGGAAAAACCACAGUCCCCCAGCAGUCUCUAAGCCCUUCACUUUUGAAAAGCACACAGCUUCCCUGCUACCCCUUGCUUCUGUGGGUCCGGCUGGAACGAUGUCCCGCCACCCCCUUCUUCAGAGCAGCACUUUGCAGAGGAGCCCCUCACCCUGCAGAGGGGUAGAGCUGGACUUGUACAUUUCUAGCCAAGAGUUGAAAACAGAUGGAAACAAAAAUGCCAGCAUUAAUCCAAAAGGCAUGUGGAAGAAAGAUCAAAUGGGAGAAGAGGAUGAAUAUGUUUUCAGCAGAGCUGUGUGCUUCCUACAGAACUGGACUGUGGGAAGCCAGUUGAGCCAGUCUGUGCCUCGUGGCGGAAAAUGGAUUUUGCCUGGAGACUUAAGAUGGGAAAUUAGGGGUGGGCUCCCUGCUAAGAGCCAGACAAGUUCUGUGAGCUUUGAGUUGUUGGGAAUGCACACAACCAAGUUUGCCAUAUUUGCUUCUGUAAAACCUCCCUGGCAGAGUCCUUUCAGGUGUGAAUUCUGUGAAUCACAUGCUUUUAAGGUCCUUGGUGCAGUGGCUGGCUUUUUUUUCCUGUCACAAGGACCAGCCGAGAGCAGGAGGAAUGUCAGGGAUAAGAACCCACAACAUAAUCCUUAUUUUCCCUAGGGGCUUCUCUUCUCCUUGGCCCCUUUCUUUCAUACCUACCUUUAAAAGAUUAUAAGUGUAACAGGAGAAGGAGUCUGCGGUGGUGGCUGGGAACUCUUGGAGCAGAGGUGAGGGAACAGGAGAGUAGAAACAUCCCAAAUAUUUUCCCUAGUAAGGGGGGAUAUUUGCUUCCAAAAAGCAGAAAUCAGGGGAAGUGUGAUUAUAUGAAUCCUUUUAUUCCGGGAGCAGUGGCUUGGGCAGAGGGAGGGAUUUAUAGGCCAGCAGUUUUUAGAGACUGAAUUUGACACGAUAUUGAUUAUUUGUUUUAAGGAAAUCCCGAGACUUGUACUUAAGCCAAGGGAAACAAUUGGGCUCUUUUUCAAAAGUCUUGCAAGUUCAUCUUCCUGACGAUCUUAUUUUGAUGCACAGCUGCCCCUCGGUUAUGUUGUUAGAAGGACAGACAAAGCUCAAGGAUUUUCAGGUGUUUUCCAAACAAGAUCACAUCAAUCUUUGAUUCAGUAUGCAGUGGGGGAAGUGACUGAGAUUUGUUAGGGUAAAUAAACAUUGUGUUUCUGAGGAAGGUCCA
rnacentral:lncRNA from 13 species